rnacentral:rRNA from 1 species
GUGGGGAAUCUUAGACAAUGGGCGCAAGCCUGAUCUAGCCAUGCCGCGUGUGUGAUGAAGGCCUUAGGGUCGUAAAGCACUUUCGCCAGGGAUGAUAAUGACAGUACCUGGUAAAGAAACCCCGGCUAACUCCGUGCCAGCAGCCGCGGUAAUACGGAGGGGGUUAGCGUUGUUCGGAAUUACUGGGCGUAAAGCGUACGUAGGCGGAUCAGAAAGUAAGGGGUGAAAUCCCAGGGCUCAACCCUGGAACUGCCUCUUAAACUCCUGGUCUUGAGUUCGAGAGAGGUGAGUGGAAUUCCGAGUGUAGAGGUGAAAUUCGUAGAUAUUCGGAGGAACACCAGUGGCGAAGGCGGCUCACUGGCUCGAUACUGACGCUGAGGUACGAAAGUGUGGGGAGCAAACAGGAUUAGAUACCCUAGUAGUCC